AUGCCCCCCCUCACUGGGCCCAUCAGCGAAAGCAACUGCUACUUAAUCGUAGGUUUGCUUUCGUGCAAGGCCCCCGCUGCUGGAACAGGCGGUUGUCAUUUUCAACUUCAACUAGGCUCCACCUUAGAGAGGGUUUUCGGUUUGAAUCAAGAUAGGGUCAGGGGCGCGUCGGAACGGCUCCUUCCCUUCCACUGCAUAGCUGCGCUAUCAGGUACUACGAGCCCUCUGCCCCACGCAUCUAACCAGCUCGCGUGGUUCACCGGUUCCACCGAAAACUCUCAUUUGUUGAAGCGGAGCAUAGUGUGGCGUCGAGCGAGAAAGGCGUUCGCAGAAUCAGUCUAUCCGAACCGCAGACGCACUUUUCAGAUUAGUGACGGCCUCUCCAGCAGAGCUGGGCGCCGGGGCCCUGGAUGCGCUAGCGAUCGGCACAUUAGGGGAGUACUUGCCCGGGUUACUCGGCCUGGUAUCCUUAUCCUCGCGUUCAUGAUAUCUACAUUCAACUGUGCCCCGGAGACACGGUCGAAGCACGCCCGCCCCGUGUGCGUCUUUCACGACAUGCUCUGGUCUCGGGUUUCUUCCUGUGGUAUUCUAGCGUUAGAAGAAGUCGUGUCCGUCCCGGACAUCUGCAACGUCCUCUCACGCCUUUUUUGGGGGGACAAACAAAGAUCAGGAAAAGACGGACCGAACCCAUUCGUUUCCUUGUCGACGCGAAGGGGCCAGCAGCCCCCAAACCAAAGUCUGAGAUCAAAACUCAUACCGCGGUUGUGGCUUGAAGGCCGCAUGGAAGUUCUGAAAUAUUUAGAGAAAAAAGCCUCUGCCUCUGGGGAAGUGCUCACAUCAACUCCAAUUUGGAUGGAGCUUCUCGAUGGGUUAGAGCGUUUGCGAACCAAAAAGGGGAAAAACCCAUCCUCCAAAGUAGUGAAGCUCUUCUCCGUCUAUAACUCAAAGUCCAUCUGUCUCUCGUGGAAGCGCUUUAGAGUGCCUAGAAGAUCCAGCAAACGGGGGUGCCAAUGCUGUCCCAAGACCAGAUCACGGAUCUCCUUCCCUAUGAGACUCUUGCUUCCCUUUGAAAGAGGCAGACCCCUACUUCAAUUGUCAUCUGACGCCUCUACCCCAGCUGUGGACUCAGACCUCUCACAACCAAAAAAAAGAAAAUCAAAAUCAAACGAAUCCGAAUAUAACCAAUCUAUCGCCUUUGAUGACUCGUUGACAGCCUCCUCAACCCAAGCUUCCAUCUCCUGCUCCAGACAUCGGCGCUUGCCCGCGCCAGUCCAUGAAAGGUGGAUGAAGAGAGGCAAAAGAGAAGUCCAGAGAGACCUCGACUCUUUCAGGGAAAGGAGGGAGAUCGAAUGCGAGAUGGAGUCCCUGCCGAAUGGAAUGGACAUCCUUGGGGACAGCUGUAGAAAAGACUCGUUGCUGGAACCGAGAGCACUGGCGAUUGCUUUCUUUCUGACCUUCAGCCGAGAAAUUCCAUACCUUCCACCGACUUCUUUUGUGUGUGGCCAGAACGUGAUGCUUUCCAAUGCCGAGUACUUUUCUUAA
rnacentral:rRNA from 1 species